rnacentral:lncRNA from 1 species
CAAAUGUCCAAAAACCCUUAUUUUUCUGGUGGUAAGGUAAUACCUGUCUUUUGUGUCUAUGCUAGUUUUUCUCGUCCUGAUGUGCAGCAGAUAUUUUGUAUUUGGACACUAACAUGCAUCAUUUUAUAAUUUUAAUAUAUUGCUUUUCGAUUCGAAUUAUUUUUGGUAAAGGUUUGUUUUUUAACGAUUCUCGCAGUACACC